UGUGGGUAUGGGCUGACUUUCCCAGAAUCUGCACCUUACAAGAACAUUCGUUCAGUCCUGUCACCUGUUGCAGAGAGCCAAGGGCUCACUCAAGUCAAUGCUGUAGGCUAAGACAUUUUAGAAAAAUGUCAGCUAAGAACUUGAGAGCCUAUGAAAUUCAUUGUGCAUUCUCUGUGCGUCUCUGCUCAGUGUUGCGUGGUGACUUUUCUGGAUGGAGUAUGAAGCUUUAGUAACACAUUUUACACAAAUGUGCUCCUAGCUGACAUGCAUAAAUCCCCCUCUCUUCAAUGGAAACAGAGCCUAUAAUGCUGCUAUUAACUGGUAUGAGAAUUGCUGAUUUCUUUUUUUGUGGAAAUUGGAAGGGAAACUUCUCCCUUGUGUGUCAGAGCUGCCUGUGUCCUGAGCCCUGCUUGCUGCACUGAAGACAACUCAGAAGCUGUUUCCCUGGGCCCACAGAGCUCACUCCUCAGGGGGCUUCAGCGUCACCUGGAGCUGUGUGGAUCCCAUGCAUUAUCCCAUGGCUCUGGCUUGGACUAUAUAGAUUCCGUAUGUCAAGAAAUACUGUACCAAGUCAAUGAUUGCAUGGUCUUAAGAGAAAGAGAGACCUGGGAGGAAGAUAAAAAAGAUGAAUGCAUCCUCCUAUCACUGCUGGGCUUUGACGAUGUUUAGCAUUCUGGGUGGCAAGCAGGCUAAAGGACAUUUGUGUCUUCAGCACCAGAUAGAUGCCAAUCUCCAAGUGCUGGGAAUCCAGAAGAGAGCAAGAAAUAGCUACAUGAAAUCCCAAAACAAUUUGCAUCAAAGAGUCAUGGAGUGGAAAAGAGAGGGUAUGAUCUGAAAUGUUCUGACUGGUUUCAGCAAGUAAGGAGAUCUUUUGCAAGUGGAAAGAGGAUCAAGAGAUGGAGGGAGGAAGGAGUGAGUGGACAGAAAGAUGAAAAGAAAUGAUGAAAAAGAAAACAAGAAUUGAAAAGCUCUGGAGACAGAGCUUUUGCAAAUGGGAAGGGGACCUUGAGGACGGAGCAGGGAGGAAGAGGAGCUUUACGGGAUGCCAAUGAAUCACACUGUGCUGUGAACACGCACCACCUCCCCACGAUAAAUGUAACCCUUACGUCCUGCAAACAUGUUUGAAUAAAAAUAAAAUUUU